GCAAUAGUUGCGAGAGAACGGUUGAUCGAAUCGAAAGAGGACAGCUUGUUUUCAUCCCGAACAGAAUUCGCGUGGGAGGUGGUCGGAAAGGAAUAUUCUGGUGGGGGUGACGGUUGCCCCUGUUUAUUCCCCCACCAAUGCCACUACUCUUUCCAUCUCUAUCGCUCUGCCCACACCACGAAGAGGUUUCCCGAGCGUUGGUCGGUGGUGUUCGAGGUAGGGAAGGUUCGUGUCCAGUCGUCGUCGGAGUUUCUGAUAGUGGGACCACGCGACUGUUGCCGUCUUAUCGCCUCUUGCUUUUUAUCAAUGGAGAGCUCGUGUCACCGUCUUUCACGUUUACGUACGCACGCCUCGCGAUUACGCUCAACGACGCACGCGCGAUAUCGUGAGGAGAAGAGAAACAGACGCUCUGGACGCCCGAUUCCAAGGGAGACCAGCCUGGAAUCCUGCCCGUCCCGUUUCUGGACGACGGAUAGUUUCUCACGACUCGAAGAGAAGUCGAUGGAAUAAAACAAGUUGGUCCAGAGGUCCGCGGUGUGUAUCACUUCGGUUGAUAGCUUCGCUCGAAGCCUGGCUACGGUUUUUUUCUAUUCGAUAUAUCGAAUACCUCGCACGAGCGAACCAGAAAGGAAGAAUUCACCUUGGAAGCUUAAUGCACUGUAGAAAAAACGAGGAAGGACGUGAUUUUUGUUCUCCUUGUUAUCGGUGAAAGAGCAUAUUCGGGUGCAGGUCAAGCGAAGGAAAGAAAAAGAACCGUUCAGAGACUCGGUCGCAGUCCGUACGCUCUACUCAACUAGUCUCGGUUGACUUUACUUCGAUGGAGUUGGACAGCCUGACGCGGCCGAGAAAACUAUCGUGGACAGGACGAAUUUGAUCCGCUUCUGGUCCUACCCGCUCUUUUGACGCUCUGGUUUCGUUACUGGAAGAGAAACGAAAAGAAACCGGCUACAGGGAAAGUCGAUUGACACUGGAGCAGUCCCCUGGGCUGGUAUCGGACCACUGAAACAGGGAAUCGACUAAAUUCUAAAUAGAUUCGUUCACGAAUCGAUGAAAAAUAUUUACGGAUAUCGAAAUUAAUAUCGAAAUUAGACACCCUACAUAUAGUACAGAUAAAAAGGAAAGAAAUUCGGCAACUAAAGGCAAGUUUUCACGAGAGUAAUGAGUCAACGAGGCAUGUCUAAUUAAAGACAAAUCGGAUCUCGAUCGAAAGAGCGAAUAAUAUCGGUGUGCUUGGAUCUAUGUAGUUGUAUGUUUCGAGGAAAAGUAUUUUUAAGGGCGUAUUUUUGAGAAUGAUCGCCUAGCGGAGCCAAAGAGUCUGCCGAGAGUAAAUUAAGCCUGGGCAAAGUUCGAUUGAAAAUCAGGCCUUGAAUUUUGACGCGUGUCUCUGGAAAACCACUGGAUAUCCUUUGUUUGGUACAAAUUAAUCCUCGGAAGUCCGAGCCAGAGUCGCGACGGACGGAAUUCGAACUAAAUUGGGUUUGCGGAAGAGCACGUGACCGAGAGAAACUUGGAGGGAAAACAGUAAAGCAGGACAACUUUAAUCAGACGAUCAACCGAAAAGCUACACACGAACACACACACGUUAAGCAGAUAGUGAUAGACGAUACAGCGAAGACGCAAAAACUGGGAAAGAAAGGAGGAGAGAGACCGCGAAAGAAGACAGAGACAGGAGAGAGGAGAGGCUUUAGGGAGAGACUCCACGCCAGAGUGGUUUGAACGCGGACCCACUGAUGCUAUAGUAGUACAGUUGGAGGAGCCAGCAGGAGCUGUCCGUUUAACCGAAGUGUCGUGCAGGAACGCGUUAUGGUGGCGAAUAGCAGCUGACAGCGCGCGGCCACACAGAAAUUCAGUGUAAGGGAGGACCGGCGAGGAGCUUCUU
rnacentral:lncRNA from 1 species